UACGGGGGGAGCAAGCGUUGUUCGGAUUUACUGGGCGUAAAGGGCGCGUAGGCGGCCAGCACAAGUCAGUUGUGAAAUCUCCGAGCUUAACUCGGAAAGGUCAACUGAUACUGUGCGGCUAGAGUGCGGAAGGGGCAACUGGAAUUCUUGGUGUAGCGGUGAAAUUCGUAGAUAUCGGGAGGAACACCGGCGGCGAAGGCGGCGACCUGGUUGGAUACUGACGCUGAGACGCGAAAGCGUGGGGAGCAAACAGG
rnacentral:rRNA from 1 species